CCCCUCUCUCUCUCUCUCUCUCUCUCAUAACUGCGCGAUUCACGUGCCCCUGAUUUUCCGACGAUCCACAAUCCAUUUUCACGUCUCUCGCUACAAAACUCAUGCAAAUCUUCAACUCCUAUAUUUUCUCUCCACACACAUCAACGGCGGGCCUUCAUUACCUCUGCCGAAGCUAAGAAGCUGCGAUUCUCAGCAUCUAAUUCAGCUCGCACCGUAAAAGCAGAUAUCUGCUCGAUCGCGACGCUCAAUAUCUGAUCAAAUUUUCCCCUCGAUUUAAGGUUGAUGAAGCUUGUCGUCGCUGUUUGUUGUUUCGAUCGUUCGUGCCGAGCAUUCUUAUGGAAUUCCCCUGAAAUCGAGCUGCCUUUCGUUUAUUCAGGAGGAACUUUGAGAGAGAAGCGAAGAUUGAGGAAUCGUAAUGGCGAAAGGAGAAAAGGAACGCUGCGUCUUUCCCUUGACGAGUUUGCAAAUUGGGGAUUUGCAGUCUUACCUUUCACAUCUCCACUUAUUUCUAGCAUCAGAGAGUGGGAAUUUCUAUAUCUUGGUGGACAAUAGGCCGUGGUUGAAAGAUCUCGCGUCUCUAUCUACUCACUGGUGGCAAUUGAUGGUUACUAAGUCCAGGUUGUCCCCAUUCGCGAACACAAGGGGGAAGAAGGAAAGAAAGAUGACUGAAGAGCUUUCAGAGUUGCAGGCUUCUUCCCCACCACCUACCAGGAAAUUAAGAAUUCUCCGAGAGUGGUUCCAUGUCAUCGAUGCUGUGGUUGUAUCUAGGAAGGACGCUUUGCUUCCUGUGAAGAAGCUUACGAACUCAUUGAUUGCAAAUGGCUUGAUACAGAGAACUCUGUAUGGAUUCAUUGUGUUUGAGGUUGCGUGGAGCAAUGUUCGUGGAAUCAACUAUUUGAAUGAGCUUCAGACAGACACAUCACUUGCAAUAGAGGCUAAGAUUAUGAGAAGAUGGGAAUUCGACAGUAUAGCACAAGCUGUCAGGAGCAUAGCCUCGUGGUUUCCUGGGACAAUGAAAGAACAGAUUCUGUUGAAGAAGCAUUUGGAUGCCACACUAGGAUAUGUUUACUAUGAUGCUCAAGAAAGUUUCCCGGAGACUAUUGAGGCGGAUGGGAACGACGCUAUCAGUGAUGCUACGCAUGCUGGGAAUGAAACUUCCUGCUCUCCAGAUCAUACUCCUAGUGUGUGUCCAGAUACAACUGAGAUUAUCAAGAACACACACCAUACGUCCCCUACCCGUGAUGAUCCUCCCAAAAGAUGGAAGCUUUUCCGCUCUAGUCACUUCGAAGCUGAGCAUGGUACUAGUUCUGGAAAAGCAAACAAUGAACAGGAUGGAGUCUGUUUGAAGACCUCUGAUGGAAGUGAGAGUGAAGAAAAAAUCGAGGUCACGAGCUACCGCGAUGUUUUGAUUCUGUUCAAGUUCAGUGAUCCCUAUCUCCCCUUCAAGUUAAAGGACAUAAUAAUGUCAAAACUAAGGCUACUUACUCUACUUGAAGCUGGACUUCCAUCUUGGGUCAUUUUCCUGCAGUCUUACCCGGGAUUUUGCCGCCUUUAUCGGCCAUGGAUGUGUCCUCUAGCACGAGGUCUAUACGUCCUUAUCUCAGUCAUCACUGUCCUCAUUGGAUUCUAUGACUUGUACAAAAACGUACCUCUUCUUAAGGCGACAGUUUCUAGAAUGUUCGGACCCCUCUUCGACUGGAUAGAUGCGUGGGAUAUGACUUCAAGGAUCCAGUAUUUAGGAACCAUGCUGUUUCUUCAUAACUUUCAAAAGGCCAUGAAAUGGUUCCUCACAGCAACAAGGACCAUUCUCUCAGUCCUCUCAUUCUUCAUCUCGCCAUUGGCUCGACCCUUUGCUGAGUUGUUGGAGCUCUUCUUCCCCCUUUGGAAUAUGUUCAUACCAGUAGCACAGGAUUUCUUCUCAGUGAUUUGGACAGUGAUCGAGUCUUCCUUCACGAUGAUAGGCGACAUCUUGGAGAUCUUCCUGCUGCCGGUGUGGUACUUCUUCAAUGUAGCUUGGAAUGUUGCAACGAACUUCGUAUACCCUGUAGCAUAUAUACUUGUUUACGCCCCGUUUAGGCUGCUGUUCGGGUUCUGCAGCAUUCUUUCGUCGUCGUGUACAGUCAUAUACGCCUUGCUUAGAGAUGUGUGGAUGUCUGCUAGGAGCAUAUUUAGGGUGACAAAGAGUGUUCACUCCACAGUGAGCACAGUUGAGAUUUCAAUGUGGCGUUCUCUUUGGAAUGACCUUUUCUCUCAGGUUUUUCGUGCUCUCCGAAGUAUUCUCAAUGGUUUAGUGGCUUUUCUUGCUGCCUGCAAUCGGCACCGGCUUAGUAUCUAUAAUCAUGCGGGGGAGUUCACACAAAGAUCGUUAAGAGCUACGAGGAGUGCGUGGCCUCAAGAAAAAGCUGAGAUUAGUUUGACCCAAGAUUCGAAGGACAGCACUCGUCCCUGGAAAGAAUCCUCCUAUCGAGUGAAGGAGUCGAAGAAGACCAUGUAACAUUUCUAUCAAAGUUGAGCUCUGCAGUCGAUAUAAAGCUUCAUCCCAGACGAAGACUCGUUCGGCAGAAUUAUCAGAAUAAGGAACGUAUUAUUCAUAACUCACAAGUGCAGAUGCAGAUCAGCUUAGAGAAGGAAGGGGAAAACUUGGCUUUGGAAACGUCGUGCUUGGUGCUCCAUAAAUUAUGAUACCGAUGUUUAUUCACUAGUUGAACAGAUGAAACAAAAAAUCUAUCAGGCAUACUCCUUAUACCUCUUGGAAACUGAGAAUGACUUGGGCGAGUUCUUGAAGGCUGACGCAUCGAACAUCUCCAUAAACCUCUGAUCCGAAACCCUUGCUUUGGCUGCUGCAAACCGCUGGUACUCAUCAAACACAGAAGUCAGGCACCAUCUCUGUGAUUUUCUCAAGCACCCGACGAGGCAACCAGUUCGGUGCUGAAUGACCAGUGACCACAUCCAAUCACAAGUUAGUACUUAUAUCUGCAACUGAGUAGCUAGCUAGUUUAGUCUAUAGAGCAUGUAUAUUACCUUUCCUCGUUUGCAAUGAAUCAGUACAGGAUGAUUCUUGACAUCUAAAAUUCAGAAAGAAAAAAAUAGAAUAA